CUCGCUCCGGCUUCCGUUGCCCGGCUUCGCUUGGGCGCCAUGGCGCUCGGCAACAUCGCCGUCGUGCUCGGCUCCGGAUAUCUCAGCACUAUUCUUACCGGAGGCGACGCCAAGAAAGUCCCUAUCAUCGGGGACACGCUUGCCAAUUUUGUGAAGAACACCGGGAAGGCCGGGAAACACGACGGUAGCGACCAGUUGGCGUCU